rnacentral:lncRNA from 1 species
GCUCUGGCAAGAACUGAAUUUAACAAAUCGAUAUACACUUAUGGUUUCACCAAAGGCUUCGGGUGGUUAAGGAGGUGGUGGUGUGACUUGGAAAGGCAUAGACAGCUUUUUAUGACUCUAAGUAGUGGAGUUGACAUUUUUUUUCAGUACAACGAUUCAAACACACAAAAGGAAUCCCCAUGAUGCUGAGUAAAAAAUACUUUGUGUUUUCUUUUUCUGCUUUUUUUCAACUUAACCCUGAGAUCAUGAAAAAGAGUGGAAAGAAAAGAAUAAUAAUGAGAAUCUGACUUAGUAAAAGCAAAGUUCUUUCUCUGUUAGUAUCACAAAAACAGAGAAGUCCCCAGGCCUUUCAUGUGUAUUCUGGAAGGAACGCCCGCUUCCAAAAAUGCCAAACACUACAAUGGAUGUGGAAUAAAUGAGCAACAAAUAUUGAAUUAAUAAAUAAACAUCGCACUUUCUGAUGAGGCUGGAGGCUCUCACUUGAUAGCAGAGGAUAAAGAGAAGAAGAAAAGCAGGAACUACUUUCGGCUGGUAAGCAGAUCUUACAGUACAGUAGUUAAGCAUAUAAUGUUUGGAGCCUGACUGAUAUAGGCACAAAUCUCAAGUCCACAACUAUGUGAACGUUGACUUGUGAGAAGAUCCAAAUUUGCUUUGCCUUUGCCUUCCACCAUGACUGUAAGUUGCCUGAGUCCUCCCUGGCCAUAUGGACCUAAUCUCGCUCUGCCACCCAGGCUGGAGUGCAGUGAUAUGAUCCUGGUUCAUUGCAACCUCUACCUUCCAGAUUCAAGAAAUUCUCCUGCCUCAGUCUCCCAAGUAGCUGGAAUUACAGGUAUGUGCCACCAUGCUCAGCUAAACUUUUUGUGUUUUUAAUACAGAAGGGGUUUCAUCAUCUUGGCCGGGCUAAUUUUGAACUCCAGACCUCAAGUGAUCCGUCCGCAUCAGCCUCCCAAAAUGCUGGAAUUACAGGUGUGAGCCAUCACACCUCGGCCCUGAUUUAGCUGUCUUCUUUACGUAGUUUCUGCUUUAUAUGAGCACAGAUGAAUAUAAAAACGUGUAUGAAUGAUAAAUGGGGAAUUUAGAACUCUCAAGGAAGAAGUAGCUCAAUGACAAAUAUCUAGAAUGCAAAGAACUGGAAUGGGACAAAUUCUAAAUUGGAAAUUCUAAUUUCCACUAGAAGAUCUUUUGCCUGCCAUCUUCUCUGGUACCAAUCCUAAGUGUGAAGUUUGACAAUUUCUUUUCUGUAUUUAAAUAUAUUUUUAAACCAAUAGUAAAUGUUUAAAUAAAUAAAGAAUAUAAUUUUUCUUCCUGACCACUUCAUGUUCUCAGAGCCAAAUCUCAAUAGUGAAUUAUCCACUUAUAUCACUGUUUAAAGUUAGUGCCAGAUCUUCCAGGUUUCAGAGCGAUUCUAGGAGUCUACUGUGGCUCUCUCUUUUGGGAAAUCACGGGGCAGCAAGACGUGUCCACUACUGUUGCCAUCAGACAGGAGCAGACACCAUGAUGAAUGUGAGGUGCUAAAGGAAUGUGCUCAGAUUACACAGAGAUAAGAAUUGAGGGGUAUUUUAGAAUUUCUUAGUCUUCAUUGAUUUUCCAAUCUGACAAACACUAUUUGAAUCCAUAUUUAUUUUUACCUUCAUCUAUUCUACUUCUCUUGCUCUUAUUCUUUCUUUAAUUCAUCAGACAUUUGUAAAUUCCUGCCAAAUAGCAGAACUAUGUUGGAUAGGAGGGAGGGUGAUGAUAAGUAUAUUAUCGAUAAUGGACUGGGUGGGCACAGGCAUAAGAAUCAAUUUCUCUGUGACCAUGUGAUAAAUUCAAUAACAGAGUGGCUUUCACCUUUUUACCUUGCAAGUCUGUCAAUUUCCCCCAACAGCACAUAUCCCACGAUUCUCUUUGAGACACGACUAUUACAUCAUCUGCUGAAUGCAUACUUUGAGUCGUCUGUACUUUGUCUAAUUACCAUUAUGAUUUUUCUUCACUUGUCCUAAUAAUGUACAGGGUGAUUUCUGUGACUGUCAAGUAAGGAAGCUGAAGUUUUGAAAUGGGAUAGUGCUCCAUUCCUCCUGAAUUUUGAUGUACUAGUUCGUGUUUUUACUGUUCUCUGAUGAACAGGCCAUCCAGUGCUAAUGGAUUAUAAUACAUUAAGUAAACAUAUGGUUAAAAUGUGAGAUGGAGUAGAGGGCAAAGGGCAUGAAGAAUCAGGAUAACUUUAUUGUUAGUUCUGUGGGUGUCCUUGGGCAGAUAGGAAAAUCUUUCUGGGUCUCUCUUCAUCUGUAAUAUGUGGGUAACCAAUGCUUUUCCUCUCUUUCCCAUGGGCAUAUAUUGAGAAAAGCUUCUGAAAGCAUGAUUCCACAUUGCAUUCCCUGCAUCUAGCAUAGAAAUUGUUACUGCAUAUAUGUUUUAAAACUAUGUUAAAUAAAUGAGUAAUAUGUACUUUGAAAAGCAGAAAAUGCUGUAGAGUAUACAUAUAAUGGAUUACUAGUACUUUAUUUAUCUAGAGCUUGUGCACUUAGGGAUGUUUGGAAUAGCUGUAAAAAUGGCUUCUCAUACUUUUCAGCUUGGUAAAAUGGAUAUUAAAUCAGUUCAAGGGUAAGAAUGACAUUAUGCAGUGAGGACUGAAGCUCUGGGAUCUGAUAUUCAUGCAUGGAGGUUCCCACAAUAGCCAGGGGCAUGGCACCUUCAUGCAUCAAAAUAAUGGAACAAUGUUGACAAUAAUGAAGAUGAAUCGCAUGAUUUUAGGCAUUGAUCUACUUGUGUUUUCAACUGUGAAAGUGUAGAUGAUCCUAAGUGUUGG